rnacentral:lncRNA from 1 species
AGACUCCUUAUAUGCAUGUGGUACCAAUCGUCAUCAUAAGUAUUAAUAUACUUUAAUCGUGCGGAGGACAAAGCUCCUAAUAUUCGUGCGGAGGACAAAGCUCCUAAUAAAACGUGGUGAGGACUAAGCUCAAUGAUAUGCUAUGCAUGGACUCUUAACAACAAAACAUCGUAAUCAUCGUAAUCAUGUGCAUUCAAUAACUUGAAGCGAAACGUCAUCAUUUUCUUUAUAUUCAUAAAUAAACAUUGCAUACUCAGUUAAAUAACAGCAGCAGCAUAAUCAAGUCACAUAACAGCAGGGAGAUAUCAAUAUAUCAACAUUAAUUCAAUAGAAUCAUAAUCAUUUCAUUAUAUCUCACAUAUUGCAUAAUACAUUAAUCAUGCUCAAUUAAUAUCAAUAUAUCUUAGUAGCUUUACAAACUGCAUUAAACGUUAUCAUUAGGUUGCAUUACCAAUUAGGGGUUCACUCUUGAUCAAAAGGUGCGACACAGAUCGC